rnacentral:rRNA from 1 species
GAUGAACGCUGGCGGCGUGCCUAAUACAUGCAAGUCGAGCGAACAGACGAGGAGCUUGCUCCUCUGACGUUAGCGGCGGACGGGUGAGUAACACGUGGAUAACCUACCUAUAAGACUGGGAUAACUUCGGGAAACCGGAGCUAAUACCGGAUAAUAUAUUGAACCGCAUGGUUCAAUAGUGAAAGACGGUUUUGCUGUCACUUAUAGAUGGAUCCGCGCCGCAUUAGCUAGUUGGUAAGGUAACGGCUUACCAAGGCAACGAUGCGUAGCCGACCUGAGAGGGUGAUAGGCCACACUGGAACUGAGACACGGUCCAGACUCCUACGGGAGGCAGCAGUAGGGAAUCUUCGGCAAUGGGCGAAAGCCUGACGGAGCAACGCCGCGUGAGUGAUGAAGGUCUUCGGAUCGUAAAACUCUGUUAUUAGGGAAGAACAAAUGUGUAAGUAACUAUGCACGUCUUGACGGUACCUAAUCAGAAAGCCACGGCUAACUACGUG